rnacentral:lncRNA from 1 species
UAGGCUUUGGCAAUAAAACAGAGUAGUUGAUAUGUAAGUUUUAUGCCUAGUUCUUUCGAUUAAUGAGCCACUUUUCUUGACGAAUUGAACAUGAAUGAGCAAAAACACAAUAAUCUGAUUAGAUACUAAAUUGAUGGUUUUCUGGCAAUUCAAAAAUUGAAUGUCUAGUUCAGAGCUCACUUUUUUUCCCUGGGACAACUUGAUAACCUCCUUUUACUAUAGCCAAACCACUGCAGAGGCAUUGUCAGUCUCUUCAAGUUCACUAUUGUUCUCAGAAAAUCACUUCCUUAAGAAAGAUCCAUAUGUUGAGGGCCUCAGCUGUACUUUGUGGGAAACAAAAUUAUGGGUCAAAUUCAUUUGCUGUGUAACUCUACUGAAGUUGGUUCAGCUGACACAAAUAUCUCCUAACGGCAUUACAGCUUUGCCUCAUCUCUGCUGGCACAAGAAGCUGUGAGAGGGCUGUUGUCAACAGGGGUGGUUGUGGGAGGUUCUUCAGGGCUGAGAUGUAACGUUGAACCAGAUUUGUGUUUGGAAGCUCAAUUUUGCUUUUAGGAAUAUAAGUGAGGAGAAUGAUUUGCCAAAUGGAGUGAGCAUCCAGAUGAUCUUGUUCUGUAGACAAGAUCCUUUAACGUGUUUAUGUCAGGAGGAGGAACAUUUAUUCAUCUUAGAGGUGUUGGGAAAGGGAAGUGCAGAUGAGGGCUGCCACAGGCUGCUCCAAACCUCCAGAGUCUUGCAGGGAAGGAAUUCAUCAGUCCCUUAGCACCCUGUGCUGCAGCCUUCUGUAGCUGUUGGUCCAGUGCAAAAAGGAUGAGAAAUACAAUUCCCAUUGGGGCAGGGGAGCAGCAACACUCAGAGGAAAGUUCAGGUGGGAUCUGCGGUCCUGUGCAACUGGUAAUCCACGCAAGGAUUGUGCUCCCAUGUGCAGUAAUCACCCUGCACAAUUUGGCAGCAGUGUUAUCGGCACUGACCGGUGUCUGGAGUGAAACAAGUAAGACUUUAGGAGGUGACUUCCAUUUUGUGACUGCAGCACUUCAGCAUGUGGCUGCCUUCAUUUACUGGAGUAUGCUGGCCAAGACUGCCUUGUUUGUGGAUUACCCAGGUGUGUAUUUUCACUUUUUAAAUCAAAAGACUGUGUGGACUGGCCCAGCAGAGAUGUUAAAUUUAACCUGAUUCUAGUCUAAGAUAGACCUGAGUAAGGUUUAGUUUAAACAAACCCACUGUUUGCUCGGCUUUUGCCUUUGCUGGCUGACCUGAUUUAGGAUCGCGUAUUGUGUUGAGCCAGUAAAACUGUGUCUGUAGCCAAACCAUGUGUGCACAAUACAGUCCAUGUUGCCCUGUUGCCAGUUGUUCCUCCAGCAGUGGGUGCAGUGUGGGCUUUCAGCUGUGGAUCUCUUGGCCUUGGAAGUGGACCCUGCCAAGAUGCAGGUAUUGAAUGAAGCACCACAAUGG